GGGGGAGGGGCUGAGUCAGUGUAUAAAGCACUUGCCCUACAAGCAUGAGGACCUGGGUUUGGAUUCCCAGCACCCAUG
rnacentral:tRNA from 1 species